GGCUCUGUGGCCUAAUGGAUAGGGCGUCACUCUCCUGAAGCGAAGACUGCAGGUUCGAGUCCUACCUGGGUCG
rfam:Ascaris lumbricoides genome assembly, scaffold: ALTE_contig0009658